rnacentral:rRNA from 1 species
UACGUAGGGGGCAAGCGUUGUCCGGAUUUAUUGGGCGUAAAGCGCGCGCAGGCGGUCUAUUAAGUCUGAUGUGAAAGCCCACGGCUCAACCGUGGAGGGCCAUUGGAAACUGGUAGGCUUGAGUGCAGGAGGGGCAAUCGGAAUUCUUGGUGUAGCGGUGAAAUGCGUAGAUAUCAAGAGGAACACCUGAGGUGAAGACGGGUUGCUGGGCUGACACUGACGCUGAUGCGCGAAAGCCAGGGGAGCAAACGGG